CCCCGAGGAGCGUUGCAGCGGCCAGCCACAGAGCCCCGCCAGGCUCGGGUGUUCUCCGCAACGACGCUCACCUGAC
rnacentral:ncRNA from 2 species